AGCGAACGCUGGCGGCAGGCCUAACACAUGCAAGUCGAACGAACUCUUCGGAGUUAGUGGCGGACGGGUGAGUAACACGUGGGAACGUGCCUUUAGGUUCGGAAUAACUCAGGGAAACGUGUGCUAAUACCGAAUGUGCCCUUCGGGGGAAAGAUUUAUCGCCUUUAGAGCGGCCCGCGUCUGAUUAGCUAGUUGGUGAGGUAAAGGCUCACCAAGGCGACGAUCAGUAGCUGGUCUGAGAGGAUGAUCAGCCACAUUGGGACUGAGACACGGCCCAAACUCCUACGGGAGGCAGCAGUGGGGAAUCUUGCGCAAUGGGCGAAAGCCUGACGCAGCCAUGCCGCGUGAAUGAUGAAGGUCUUAGGAUUGUAAAAUUCUUUCACCGGGGACGAUAAUGACGGUACCCGGAGAAGAAGCCCCGGCUAACUUCGUG
rnacentral:rRNA from 1 species